UACGUAGGGUGCGAGCGUUAAUCGGAAUUACUGGGCGUAAAGCGUGCGUAGGCGGUUCGUUAUGUCUGCUGUGAAAGCCCCGGGCUUAACCUGGGAAUGGCAGUGGAAACUGGCGGGCUUGAGUGUGGCAGAGGGGGGUGGAAUUCCGCGUGUAGCAGUGAAAUGCGUAGAUAUCGGGAGGAACACCAGUGGCGAAGGCGGCGAUCUGGGAAGAUACUGACGCUGAGGUGCGAAAGCGUGGGGAGCAAACAGG
rnacentral:rRNA from 1 species